UACGGGGGGGGCAAGCGUUGUUCGGAAUUACUGGGCGUAAAGGGCUCGUAGGCGGCCAACUAAGUCAGACGUGAAAUCCCUCGGCUUAACCGGGGAACCGCAUCUGAUACUGGAUGGCUUGAGAUUGGGAGAGGGAUGCGGAAUUCCAGGUGUAGCGGUGAAAUGCGUAGAUAUCUGGAGGAACACCGGUGGCGAAGGCGGCAUCCUGGACCAACACUGACGCUGAGGAGCGAAAGCCAGGGGAGCAAACGGG
rnacentral:rRNA from 1 species